rnacentral:rRNA from 1 species
UACGUAGGGCGCAAGCGUUGUCCGGAAUUAUUGGGCGUAAAGAGCUCGUAGGCGGUCUGUCGCGUCUGCUGUGAAACUCAGGGCUUAACCCUGAGCUUGCAGUGGGUACGGGCAGACUAGAGUGCGGUAGGGGAGACUGGAAUUCCGCGUGUAGCAGUGAAAUGCGCAGAUAUCAGGGAGGAACACCGGUGGCGAAGGCGGAUCUCUGGGCCAUUACUGACGCUGGAGGAGCGAAAGCGUGGGGAGCGAACAGG